GAAGGAGUUACGCACGUUGAUGUCAGCAGGGGUCCUCUUGCGUUUCUACUACAUCUUUCUCAUAGAGAAACCUGUGAUUGGACAGUUUCACCAGCUCACAGUGCAUAUAUGCCAUCUGAGCUGGCAAAGGGGGCAGGGAUGAUGAAAUUUCGGAGGGAGUGAAUUUUAAAAAAAUAGAACCAAAAUAUAAGCAACAGAGGAAGCGCUUAGUGGGAAGGAGGGAAAAUCAAUCUUCCCCUCUAGGGGUGGGCUGUCUGGAAGGGGGAAGAUUAUUACGUAUUUUACCAACGUGC